rnacentral:rRNA from 1 species
CAGUCGCCGCGGGAAUACGUAGGUGGCAAGCGUUGUCCGGAAUUAUUGGGCGUAAAGGGCUCGCAGGCGGUUUCUUAAGUCUGAUGUGAAAGCCCCCGGCUCAACCGGGGAGGGUCAUUGGAAACUGGGAAACUUGAGUGCAGAAGAGAAGAGUGGAAUUCCACGUGUAGCGGUGAAAUGCGUAGAGAUGUGGAGGAACACCAGUGGCGAAGGCGACUCUCUGGUCUGUAACUGACGCUGAGGAGCGAAAGCGUGGGGAGCGAACAGGAUUAGAUACCCCGGUAGUCCCUGUCUCUUAUAC